UAAUGAUAAAGAAAAGAGAGAUAUGCUUCCAACAUAUCUCUCUGAUGUAGAGCCGUUUAAGACGGUGACCAAUUUUAUUAUUUAAAA
rnacentral:sRNA from 18 species